CCUACGGGAGGCAGCAGUGGGGAAUUUUGGACAAUGGGGGCAACCCUGAUCCAGCCAUGCCGCGUGAGUGAAGAAGGCCUUCGGGUUGUAAAGCUCUUUCGGCCGGGAAGAAAUCGCGUGGGUUAAUACCCUGUGUGCAUGACGGUACCGGAAUAAGAAGCACCGGCUAACUACGUGC
rnacentral:rRNA from 1 species